AUCUACAGACAAACCACCCUGAACACGCCCAAUCUUGUCUGAUCUCGGAAGCAGGGUCGGGCCUGGUUAGUACUUGGAUGGGAGACCAUCUGGAAAUACUGGGUGCUGUAGGCU
ensembl:rRNA n-R5s161 nuclear encoded rRNA 5S 161